UUAAAUCUCAGCCACUUAAACUCACAAAAUUAACCGCUAUGAUGGCGGUUCAAAGCGGUUUCAGUCGGUUUCUUUAGUUGGUGGUUACUCCACUUUUUUCUGUCCAUGAUCACCACCACUACAACUCAAUCCUCCUACAAACCUGGAACUGUUCUCAAUUCAGUUGAGUAAUUGUUAUAUAAUGUAGAGGCUGGAAACAAAAUUCCUAUUUCCAGCCCUUUGUAUGUCACCAAGCAUUCUUCAGAGGAGAGAAAUAAAGGUCGUAUCCCCUGUUUUCUUUUUAAAACUAUACAUUCAUAUCGGGUCUUGAGGAACCAGGAGAUCAAUAAGCAUUCGUGCUUUCUUUCCACCUCUGAUCCCCUCCAGCCAUAUCCAAAUUCUUUUUCUCACAAUCUAUUAAUCUAAUUCCUUCCAAAGCCUUAAUUUUUUCUCUCGGUCACAAUUGGGUCAUUGUUUAAACUUCUGUUACACCAUCAAAUACUUCAUCCCCUCUGGCUUCCCAGAAACUUCAUUGCUUUACUUCAAGAACCAUAUAUUCAUUAAUCGUGUAAAGUUACAAGUCAUCAUCAAGUUACAAGUUCUUCAUCUUCAAUUCUGUGUUGAAGGUUUGUGUAUCCUGGCGCCGCCUUAUACUUCCAAGAGCCGCUUUCUUACCCCAUGAUUUGGAGACUCGAUUCAUAUCCGUAAUAUCCAAAGCCCCGCGUCAUGAUUCGGAAACUAUAUUAAUCUCCUUUUUUUACUUCUAAUUAGUUAGUCUGUUGAUAUUUUCCGGUGAAACAAAUGCCGAGUUUUAAUGCUCAAAUGGGGAACAGAGAGAAGCAAUCUGCAGAGAGGUGUUCUAAUGAUACUUUGAAAAACUAGAAAGGCAGUUUGGUAAUUUUUGAGAUAAUUUCUUUUCGAAGGGCAAAAAGGAGAAAUAUGGAACGUUUGUUUUGGCAUUUGGUGGUGAAGCUGUGAGCUCUGGAUGACCUAACCCUUGACUCCCUUGGUUGGAUAGGAUUAGUCUAUGAGCAUGUUCUUGAGUAAGAAAAGUAUGCAUUUGUAGAGAAUGUGAAGCAUCCAAUUUUUGUACGAUUUUAAUUAAAGAUAGUAUAAUAUCUUUGGUUUUC